CAUGCAAGUCGAGGGGCAGCAUCAUCAAAGCUUGCUUUGAUGGAUGGCGACCGGCGCACGGGUGAGUAACACGUAUCCAACCUGCCGACAACACUGGGAUAGCCUUUCGAAAGAAAGAUUAAUACCGGAUGGCAUAAUUAUUCCGCAUGGGAUAAUUAUUAAAGAAUUUCGGUUGUCGAUGGGGAUGCGUUCCAUUAGGCAGUUGGCGGGGUAACGGCCCACCAAACCUACGAUGGAUAGGGGUUCUGAGAGGAAGGUCCCCCACAUUGGAACUGAGACACGGUCCAAACUCCUACGGGAGGCAGCAGUGAGGAAUAUUGGUCAAUGGACGAGAGUCUGAACCAGCCAAGUAGCGUGAAGGAUGACUGCCCUAUGGGUUGUAAACUUCUUUUAUACGGGAAUAAAGUGAGCCACGUGUGGCUUUUUGUAUGUACCGUAUGAAUAAGGAUCGGCUAACUCCGUGCCAGCAGCCGCGGUAAUACGGAGGAUCCGAGCGUUAUCCGGAUUUAUUGGGUUUAAAGGGAGCGUAGGCGGGUUGUUAAGUCAGUUGUGAAAGUUUGCGGCUCAACCGUAAAAUUGCAGUUGAUACUGGCGACCUUGAGUGCAACAGAGGUAGGCGGAAUUCGUGGUGUAGCGGUGAAAUGCUUAGAUAUCACGAAGAACUCCGAUUGCGAAGGCAGCUUACUGGAUUGCAACUGACGCUGAUGCUC
rnacentral:rRNA from 1 species